rnacentral:rRNA from 1 species
GUUGGAACGACCGCUAUCCUGAUAUGCCAUUGGUAAAGGUCUCUAACACGAGAUUGCCAAAGGAUGACGUUACGCCUGAUUAGCUAGUUGGUGGAGUAAAAGCCUACCAAGGCAACGAUCAGUAGCUGGUCUGAGAGGAUGAUCAGCCACACUGGGACUGAGACACGGCCCAGACUCCUACGGGAGGCAGCAGUAGGGAAUUUUCCGCAAUGGGCGNAAGCCUGACGAAGCAAUGCCGCGUGGAGGGUGAAGGCCUAUUGGGUUGUUAACUCCUUUUCCCAGAGAA